CCCCGGCAUGGCGGAGGGGGCGGUGGCGGUUCAGGGAGCGCCUAAGGCCCGCGGGAGCCUCCCGCCGGCAUGGCUGAGCGCGGAGCACCGCUGCCCCGCUUUCCAUCCGGGCCAGGAGGAAGCUGUCCAGAAAAGCUGCUGUUGUACAUCUAACAUCAUCACUGUGUGAACAUGGCUUUUCUGUUCUCUCCAACUAGCCUAGAUGGGAAGACCACAGUAGGUGACACCAAGUACCAAACAGUGGCACCAGCUGCUGAGUAGGUGGGUUGCUGCUGGCAGGGAUAGCUCACUGUAAGACUGGUACCAAUGCUUUGAGAUUCUAGGUUGGUGCAAGAGCUGUGCAGAAAGCUGGAGGGGUUGCAAGCAUUGUGCAGCUGCUUGAUGGGUGCUACUGUAAAAUGAGAAAUCUGAUUGUAUGCUGAAUUCAGGUAUGACGAUACAGUGUAAGGAAACCGCUCUGUCUAGGGAAGAGUGAUAGCUGAACUGCUUUUUUUUUUUUGUAUGGUCUUGCACAAAUUUUCAACAUGGAAAUUGGGGAGCAGCAUAGAUAUUUUUUUUUUUUCCCCACGCAUUUAACAAUUCUUACAGUCUUGCGAUGUUGCCACCUAUGGAUGAAACCUUGGAAUGCUGCUUCAGCAAUAAAAACAUCACUACCAAGUC